GCGAACGCUGGCGGCAGGCCUCACACAUGCCAGUCGCACGAACCUUUCGGGGUUAGUGGCGGACGGGUGAGUAACACGUGGGAACGUGCCUUUAGGUUCGGAAUAACUCAGGGAAACUUGUGCUAAUACCGAAUGUGCCCUUCGGGGGAAAGAUUAAUCGCCUUUAGAGCGGCCCGCGUCUGAUUAGCUAGUUGGUUGAGGUAAUGGCUCACCAAGGCGACGAUCAGUAGCUGGUCUGAGAGGAUGAUCAGCCACAUUGGGACUGAGACACGGCCCAAACUCCUACGGGAGGCAGCAGUGGGGAAUCUUGCGCAAUGGGCGAAAGCCUGACGCAGCCAUGCCGCGUGAAUGAUGAAGGUCUUAGGAUUGUAAAAUUCUUUCACCGGGGACGAUAAUGACGGUACCCGGAGAAGAAGCCCCGGCUAACUUCGUG
rnacentral:rRNA from 1 species